GAAAUGCGAUAAGUAAUGUGAAUUGCAGAAUUCAGUGAAUCAUCGAAUCUUUGAACGCACAUUGCGCCCGCCAGUAUUCUGGCGGGCAUGCCUGUCCGAGCGUCAUUUCAACCAUCAAGCCCCCGGGCUUGUGUUGGGGACCUGCGGCUGCCGCAGGCCCUGAAAAGCAGUGGCGGGCUCGCUGUCACACCGAGCGUAGUAGCAUACAUCUCGCUCUGGGCGUGCUGCGGGUUCCGGCCGUUAAACCACCUUCGUAACCCAAGGUUGACCUCGGAUCAGGUAGGAAGACCCGCUGAACUUAAGC
rnacentral:misc_RNA from 1 species